rnacentral:tRNA from 1 species
GGUGGUUCAGUGGUAGAGCUCUUGCCUUGCAUGCAUGAGGUCCUGGGUUCGAUCCACAGCACCA